CGGACAGAUCUUGGAGUCGCCCGCCGUACGUGAUGUCGCCUCCGUGCAGGUCGUCACGGUGACGUGGCCUACGUGGACGCCGUCGCCGCCCGCAACUCCGUGAUCAACCUCUCCGGGAACGUCCUCGCCGUCCGCAGCCACGCCAGGCCGGCCGAAGUGCACGUGCAUGCCAUGAGGAUAUUGACGUUCAGAACGAGGAAAAUCAUGGUGUUGAAUCUUUCGGGGAUAACAUAAGCCAGGCUAACUUUGAUGAUUGGAGUGGUGAAGAUGGAUAUGAGCAUGAGGAUGGAGCUAAUAUGGACAUUGAGGAAGCUGAAAUCCAGCAACGUGCG